UACGGAGGGUGCAAGCGUUAUCCGGAUUCACUGGGUUUAAAGGGUGCGUAGGCGGGCAGGUAAGUCCGUGGUGAAAUCUCUGAGCUUAACUCAGAAACUGCCAUGGAUACUAUUUGUCUUGAAUAUUGUGGAGGUAAGCGGAAUAUGUCAUGUAGCGGUGAAAUGCUUAGUUAUGACAUAGAACACCAAUUGCGAAGGCAGCUUACUACACAGUUAUUGACGCUGAGGCACGAAAGCGUGGGGAUCAAACAGG
rnacentral:rRNA from 1 species